rnacentral:rRNA from 1 species
GAAUUCGAUUCAGGCCUAACACAAGCAAGUCGAGCGGGGUUUUCGGACCUAAAAAAGGACGGGUGAGUAAUGCGUAGGAAGCUACCCGAUAGAGGGGAUACCAGUUGGAAACGACUGUUAAUACCGCAUAAUGUCUACGGACCAAAGUGUGGGACCUUCGGGCCACAUGCUAUCGGAUGCGCCUACGUGGGAUUAGCUAGUUGGUGAGGUAAUGGCUCACCAAGGCGACGAUCCCUAGCUGGUUUGAGAGGAAAAUCAGCCACACUGUUUUUGGGGGACGGUCCAGACUCCUACGGGAGGCAGCAGUGGGGAAUAUUGGACAAUGGGCACAAGCCUGA